CGAAUCUUCUAAUGUGUAUGACCUCUAAAUUUGAAUCUAAAUCGAUAGCAUAGAAAUAAAUUUUUAUACUAAUCGAUGCAACCAUCUAGUAAUGGGAUCUGACGUCCGGAUAAGUCGAAAGAUUGUAAAGCAACAUUCUAGAACCUACUAGUGUAUGGUUAUCGUAUAAUUCAUCUCUUUGACCCUAAUGCUCAAGAUGACCUAAGGUUUGA
rnacentral:lncRNA from 1 species